AAAUAUAAUAACAUUAAAUUUUCAAAUAAAGAUAGUAUAUAGCAUUAUUAUUCAUUCUCUAUGAAUGUAAUAAUAUAAUAUGUAAAUAAAUUUAUUAUUAUUAUUUUUAAAUAAAUGUAACAUAUUUUAUUUUAAUAAAUAUAAUUAUAUUAUAUUUUAUAAGUGAAUGGAAAAAAGGAAGAAGCGAGAGUGGGACCCUCACGGGAGUGUGGAUUCCACUCCCCUCCUUAAAUAGGUAAACACUGGAGUAUGAGGAAUCAACAGUCCUCACUCUAACUCUAGCAAGUAAACAUAACCUUAAAGUUCAAAAGAAUAUAUAAUGAUGUGGACAAAAUAGCUCAACUAAGCUUAUCAAUAGUGUGUUUACUUGUUAGAUUGGAGAAUCGAAAUACAUAAAAUAAAAAUGAUCGAUGGCAUUUACUUAUUAAAAUAGAAGAGGAACAUAAACGAUAUUUAUGAGACCUACAAAACGGAAGAUGAAUGAUAUAUAUGAGACCUACAUAUUUUGGGGAUUAAGGAAUAGGAACUUGAUUUCGAUGGCGGAUUGAAAAUAAGUUAUCAUCCCUUGAACUUCCCAUUUCAAUCUACCUAAAUUUCAUAAUUUUACUUUUAUUCUCAUAAAAAUAUUAUAAUAUUAUUAUUGUUAUUGUUAUUAUUCUUCUGAUUAUUGUUAAUGAUGAUGAUGAUAAAAUUAAGAAUUGUUAAAGUUAUUAUUGUUGUUGUUGUUUUAUUAGUAUUAAAAAUAUUUUUAUAUAAUAAUAAUCACAAUUAUGUACACACACUUUACUAAAGUAAGAAAUUAACUAAAAAACAAGAAAAACAUGCAUUCCAAUUCAACCUAUUUUUUCUUAUAAUGUAUUGAUAGUUAUGCUUUUUAUAUCUUCUAACUUAUUCCUUACCAUGUUAAAGUAAGGAAAUAUUUAUUAGAUAACAACUACAUAUAUAUAUAUAUAUAUAUAUAGUCCUCAUUUAGUGAGGACAUCUUCAAUUUAUUAAAAUAAGAAUUCUAAUAAAAUAUUAAAAAAAAUUUUCAAUACAUUAAAUAUUGUAAUUUUUGUUUGUUAGUAGUAUCCUUACUUUGUUAAAAUAAAAAUGUCCUUACCGGAGAAUUAUGUGUGUGUAUUCUACAUCUCAUUUUAACAAAUUGAGAUGCUACUAAUUAACAAAAAAUAAAAAUAAAAAUUUCAAUAUAAAAACAAAAAAAUACACUCUCUAAUAUAUUCAAAUAUAUAUAUAAUAUCAGAGUGAGGAAUAGGAUAAAGAGGUAUCAAUGCAUGGCGUCAAUGCUGAUGCUGACUCAACAGUUUAGCAGUAAACAAAGAAAGAGAGAGUCAGACGCAGACCAUUUAAACCAUUCAGUGUUUCCAUAUGACUCAGGUUCAGAAAUUGAUGACAGAAUUUGAGGUACACUAGCUAGCUUUGCUUACACUACACUGACCGCACAACACAGCCAUCCACUGAUUAAUUAAUUAAUUCGUUACCCUUUUCCUCUUCACUACGCUUCUCAUCUCCCCAUAAACAAUACAAACUAAACAACUGCAAAACCCUUCCACACACCAUACUACACUAGUAAAACUUGUAGUCUUUGUUUGCAAACAAGCCAUCUCUUCAAAACUGAGUGUUCUUGUACAGACAAGACAAGCUACUUGAUUCAAGCAAAUCAAUGGUUCAAUCCAUCACAUCAUUAUUAGAACAUAGAGAUGAAUUAAUUUUGAGGUACUUGUUAUAUGCAUUUGCAUUGCAUAGUAGGUUCUUUCCUUCACAAACACGGUUGAUGAUCUGUGGGUUGGGACGGGUUCCAAAAGAUUAUUCUUUUACCUUUUUUUUUUUUGUGAGAUUACUUUUACCUUGCUUUAAGCAGCAAUAGAAAGUGUGAAACUUACGCUUCACAAAAGCUAUUAGCUAGUAGUACAAAAUGAAGUAUCAAGUCUUGCACUUGCACACAUGACACAUAUUAAAUUUUAAAAUACAGAAAGAGAACACUUUUAUAAAGAAAAUAUCUUGUGCGGAUGGAAGAACCUGAUGCACAAAAGAUUUAACUCUACAACUUGUAUAUAAUACCUCCAAAAUCCAGAUUGCUAACUUGAGCCCAUCCUCUCAGCUUUGCAAAGGGGCAUCAGUUGACUAUUAUGUGUGACAGAGAGAUCCAAGCGUUAGCAUAAAGCGGAGAAACAAAACAAACAGACAAACAAACAAAAAAGGGCGGAAAUUACAUAGUUUCCACACUCAACCCACCACCACCAAUUACAGCUAAAAGAUGCAGAUAAAGAGAAAGAAACAAGACAAAACGAGAUACCCACUACAAUGCUUAAAGAAUCAAAAUGUAGUCUAGGGGAGUUUAAAAAUAUGAAACCGUAAAUUUUAUGAUAUUAUACAAUCAAAGUGUAAGUUGCGAAACCACACAUCUGGGCACCAUGAAACCCUAGUUUGGAGGUUGUGUGAGAGUUAAAGAAGAAGCCAACAGAGGAGUGAGUAGAAACGGACAGAGAAGAUUCGUGAAGCCAUGAUGAAAGGGAAAAAAAAUGUCCGAUGAUGAUGAAACCUAAAAGAGUUAAGACUGACAAAGAAAGAACCCAAAGCCUGAACCUGAUCCAUAAUAUUUUUUAAUCAGAGAAACCCGAAAAAAAAAUCAUAAGAGUAAUGAUGAUAUCUUUUCA
rnacentral:lncRNA from 1 species